AUACGUAGAUGGCGAGCGUUGUCCGGAAUUACUGGGUGUAAAGGGAGUGUAGGCGGGAACGCAAGUUGGAUGUGAAAGGUGUGGGCUCAACCCACAGAGUGCAUUCAAAACUGCGUUUCUUGAGUGAAGUAGAGGCAGGCGGAAUUCCCGGUGUAGCGGUGGAAUGCGUAGAUAUCGGGAGGAACACCAGUGGCGAAGGCGGCCUGCUGGACUUUACUGACGCUGAGGCUCGAAAGCAUGGGUAGC
rnacentral:rRNA from 1 species